rnacentral:rRNA from 1 species
GCUAGUUGUAUUAUUAGUUAAUGCAAGAUCGACUACGUCGACUAAAGUUCUAGGUAGAAUAAUGAUGAUGACAAUUUUUUACCUAUAUGUCUUGACCAAGUCUCGUGCCAGCAGUCGCGGUAAUACGUGGAAGACUAGUGUUAUUCAUCUUUAUUAGGUUUAAAGGGUACCUAGACGGUAUUUCUAGCCCAAAAUAGGGUACGGAUUUACUAGAGUUUUAUGUGAGGAGGGGAGUACUUAUGGAGUAGAGAUGAAAUUUUGUUAUACUAUGAGGUAACUGGUGGCGGCGAAAGCAACCUUCUAUGUAUAAACUGACGUUGAGGGACGAAGGCUUGGGUAGCAAAUAGGAUUAGAUACCCUAGUAGUCCAAGCAGACAAUUCUGAAUGCCAUAGAUUAGAUUGUUUUUGGUCUAUAAAUGAAAGUGUAAGCAUUCCACCUUAGGAGUAAUGUGGCAACACAGGAACUGAAAUCAUUAGACCGUUUCUGAAACCAGUAGUGAAGUAUGUUAUUUAAAUUGAUGGUCCACAAAAAACCUUACCACAACUUGAAUAUUUUUUAAUUAAUACAAGCGUUGCACGGCUGUCUUCAGUUAAUGUCGUGAGAUUUUGGUUAACUCCAUUAAUUAACGUAAACCCUUACUUUAUUUUUUUUUUA